GUACGAGAGGACCGGAGUGGACGCAUCACUGGUGUUCGGGUUGUCAUGCCAAUGGCACUGCCCGGUAGCUAAAUGCGGAAGAGAUAAGUGCUGAAAGCAUCUAAGCACGAAACUUGCCCCGAGAUGAGUUCUCCCUGAGACUUAAAGUCUCCUGAAGGAACGUUGAAGACGACGACGUUGAUAGGCCGGGUGUGUAAGCGCAGCGAUGCGUUGAGCUAACCGGUACUAAUGAACCGUGAGGCUUAACCUU
rnacentral:rRNA from 1 species